GAUGAACGCUGGCGGCGUGCCUAAUACAUGCAAGUCGAGCGAACGGACGAGAAGCUUGCUUUUCUGAUGUUAGCGGCGGACGGGUGAGUAACACGUGGAUAACCUACCUAUAAGACUGGGAUAACUUCGGGAAACCGGAGCUAAUACCGGAUAAUAUUUUGAACCGCAUGGUUCAAAAGUGAAAGACGGUCUUGCUGUCACUUAUAGAUGGAUCCGCGCUGCAUUAGCUAGUUGGUAAGGUAACGGCUUACCAAGGCAACGAUGCAUAGCCGACCUGAGAGGGUGAUCGGCCACACUAGAACUGAGACACGGUCCAGACUCCUACGGGAGGCAGCAGUAGGGAAUCUUCCGCAAUGGGCGACAGCCUGACGGAGCAACGCCGCGUGAGUGAUGAAGGUCUUCGGAUCGUAAAACUCUGUUAUUAGGGAAGAACAUAUGUGUAAGUAACUGUGCACAUCUUGACGGUACCUAAUCAGAAAGCCACGGCUAACUACGUG
rnacentral:rRNA from 1 species